rnacentral:lncRNA from 1 species
CAAAUGCUCAUAUACAUACAUGUUUAUAUUUAAUUAAUGACCUUAGCCCAGGGGUUCCAGUACAAGUUGUGUUCUUCACGUUUUCUUUUAUGCAAUUUUGAAGACCUUUUAUAUUAGAUUUUAUAUCUUGCAUCUUACAUCUGUAAAUAAAGUACUUCGUCAGUAAGAUAACUUUAUUUUAAUAAAAUUCAGUUUAUAAUUUUCAUAGAGGCCAAAAAUGACAAUUUUCAAAUUAAGUGGAAUUUCGAUAAGAACCCUAUCGAAAAUCCAUGAAUUUAGAUUGUGCCAAAUGUAGGCUACAAUAUGACAACCCCAAAAUAAAUGUUCUAUGUUUUCAGGC